rnacentral:rRNA from 1 species
UACGUAGGGUGCGAGCGUUGUCCGGAAUUAUUGGGCGUAAAGAGCUCGUAGGCGGUGUGUCGCGUCGGCCGUGAAAACCUGGGGCUUAACUCUGGGCGUCCGGUCGAUACGGGCAUCACUAGAGUUCGGCAGGGGAGACUGGAAUUCCUGGUGUAGCGGUGAAAUGCGCAGAUAUCAGGAGGAACACCGGUGGCGAAGGCGGGUCUCUGGGCCGAUACUGACGCUGAGGAGCGAAAGCAUGGGUAGCGAACAGG